rnacentral:rRNA from 1 species
ACGCUCGACACCUACGGGAGGCAGCAGUUAGGAAUAUUCGUCAAUGGGGGAAACCCUGAACGAGCAAUGCCGCGUGAGUGAUGAAGGCCCUAUGGGUUGUAAAACUCUGUUGUUGAGAAAGAAUUGUAAGAUUAGGAAAUGAGUCUUACUUGACGGUACUCUUCAAGAAAGCCACGGCUAACUACGUGCCAACAGCCGCGGUAAUCUGAGCGGGCUGGCAAGGC